rnacentral:rRNA from 1 species
GACGAACGCUGGCGGCGUGCUUAACACAUGCAAGUCGAACGGUAAGGCCCUUCGGGGUACACGAGUGGCGAACGGGUGAGUAACACGUGGGUGAUCUGCCCUGCACUUCGGGAUAAGCCUGGGAAACUGGGUCUAAUACCGGAUAGGACCACUGCCUGCAUGGGUGGUGGUGGAAAGCUUUUGCGGUGUGGGAUGGGCCCGCGGCCUAUCAGGUUGUUGGUGGGGUGAUGGCCUACAAAGGCGACGGAGGGUAGGGGAGCUGAGAGGGUGACCCCCACCGAUGGAACUGAGACACGGUACAUACACCUACGGGUGGCUGCAGCAGAGAAUAUUCAACAAUGGGCGAAAGCCUGAUCGGGCGACGCCGCGUGAUCGAUGAAGUCCUUCGGGAUGUAAAGAUCUUUUAUGGGGGAGGAAGUUUAUUGACGUUACCCCAAGAAUAAGAGGUUGCUAAACUCGUGCCAGCCGCCGCCGUAA